rnacentral:lncRNA from 1 species
GACGAAAAGUCUUUCAAUCCAAAUAUGAUCGAUAGGGAUAAUUUAAAAAAAUGAAGUUUCUUAUUUCUAAAAUAUAUAAAUAUUUAAACGAUCAAACUAAAUUUUUUAAAUUUCCAUUCUAAUUCAUCAGGAUUACAAGACAGAAGGACGUAGCGCAAUAUUCCGUCAAAUUGAAACACCUGUGCGAUCGUUAAAACUCUGCAUGUUUUUAUUUAAUUAUAAAGGAAAAAAUAUAUAUAGUAUAAUUAUUAUAGAAGUAAGAGGAUGUCCAAUAACCUCGACAACUUUGCGUUCGCCAAGCACCGCUCUCCCUCCUUCAACAAGCACGACAAUUUCGAGUUCGACAAGCACCACUCUCCCUCCUUCAACAAUUCCUCCAUGCAGUGAUAUUAUAAAUACAAUACCUG